UUCAUUCGCGAUAGUAAUGACGAAAACCAAGCAGACUAAACGAAAACCCUCAAAUCAGGCGCCGGCGCCGGCGCCGGCUGCGGAGCCGCCGUCUCCAACUCCCAAAAUCCACAAAAAAAUCAAAAAGCAGAAGAAAUCCAAGCCCCCUAAACCCGUAGUCCAUGUUUCUGAAUCUGGUUCGGAUUCAGAUUCAGAUUCUGUUCCAGCUUCGGACCCCAGCACCGAAAUCCAAACCCUACUAGAGCCUUUCUCCAAGGAGCAGCUCAUCUCUCUCGUCAUCGAGCUCUCCUCUUCCGACGACCACAUCCUCUCCCUCGUCAAAGCCGCCGCCGACCAGGACAUCGGCCACCGCAAAAUCUUCAUCCACGGCCUCGGCUGGGACGCCACCCGCGAGUUAGUCGAGUCUAUUUUUGGGGAUUACGGCGAGAUUGAGGAUCUCAAUGUGGUCGCUGAUAGGGAAACCGGGAAAUGCAAGGGUUACGCUUUCCUCACCUUCAAAUCAUUCAAAUCUGUGAAAAAAUUGUUGAAAAACCCCAGGGUUCAGGUCGGAAACCGUUUGACCUCGUGCCAGCUGGCGUCGGAGGGCCCACUGGGCCCUGCCGCCGCCGGGAUAGUCUCGCAGAAGCAAUUCUCCGCGUCAGAUUACCCGCAGCGGAAGAUUUACGUGAGUAACGUGCCGCUGAAUGCGAGCCCGGAGAGGCUGCUGGCGUUUUUUGAAAAAUUUGGGGAAAUUGAGAGCGGGCCGAAGGGGAUGGAUCCGGAGACGGGGAGAUUCAAAGGCUAUGCGAUUUUCGUGUUUAAGACGUUGGAGGGGGCUAAGAAGGUGUUGGAGGAUCCGGUUAAGUUUUUCGAAGGGGGUCAGCUGCAUUGCAAGAAGGCGGCGGAGGGGAAGGGUCAGGUGGCUAGUGGAGCAGCGUCGAUAACGACUGCUCUGCAGCCGGUGCAGCCGCAGAUGCUGGCUGCGGUGGCGGCGGCUCAGCAGGUGCAGAAUAUGGCUUUGCUGGGGCAGCAGGCUGGGCUUGUGAAUCCGUUGUAUGGUGGUGGUUUGAUUGGUAAUGCGAACUUGGGUGGGUAUUAUGGGAUGCUCGGGGGCGGGCAGGGCUUGGGGUUAGGGGCCUAUGGCGUUUCUGGUGGUGGAAAUAGUGUUCCGGGAUUAGGUGCUUAUGGCGUUUCUAGUGGUGGCAGUAGUGUGCCAGGGUUAGGUGCGUACGGUGUUUCUGGUAGUGGCAAUAGUGUGCCGGGAUUAGGUGCGUACGGUGUUUCUGGUAGUGGCAAUAGUGUGCCGGGAUUAGGUGCCUAUGGUGUAUCCGGUGGUGGCAGUAGUGUUCCGGGAUUAGGCACAUACGGUGUAUCUGGUGGUGGUAAUAGUGUGACGAGUGGGGCGAUGCUUCAGGGAGUGCAAUUUGCUUAUCCAGGUUUGCAGAAUGGAAAAUCUUCUUCGACCUUGCCUAAGACUCCAGGGGCUGGUGGAAGCAGUUACUCUCAAAAACAAUGAUGUAUAAUGGCGUAGAUGGACAAACAGAAGUUGGUAACAUUACCAUUUCUUGGGUCAGGGUUUGACUCAUUGAAUAUGCUUUCAUUACUUUUCCGUGUUGAUGGCUCAUGUUUACAAACUCACUCUUGCUUCAAAUUAGCUGAGUUACACUACUCUUGGACGGAUUGCUUCUUUGUUUGUUUUUUCCCUUCUUUCUUGCCUUCGAGAAUUUGUUACAGAUUCUCUUUUGAGAGAUCCAUGAGCCACUCGUUUCUACUGCCCCGGACUUGGAUUUGGGCAUUUUUUCAGCUCAUGUUCGAUUUUGCUUAAAUUUUAACUCAUUUCGUAGAAGGGCAAAAGGGUUAAAAGUUUCUCAUGGCAAUUGGUACUGUACAAUGAAUUUCUGGCAAUCAAUUUAACGAAUUGCCCGUCACUGUGUCAAGGCGGGCGUGCGAGUUGGUUAACUUCUUCCUCGUGUAAGGUUUGAUUUUUCCUUGAAAUUGAAGUAUGUUGGUCUUGUAGUGAAAGAGUUGUAAGGUAGUAUAUGUAUCACAUUCAGGGUGAAAAUAUGAGCAUUUUAUUAAUACUA